UGUCUGCCCACCAGUCUGUCCAUCCAUCCAUCCCACUCUGAGUCCUGGUCUUCUCUUCCAGCCUUCCUGCAGAACUCCGGAAACCAUAAGAUGGCGGGCAUGAGUAAAGUUAAGGUCCACACGAUCACCACAGGAGAAACAUUUGGGGCAGAUAAAAGUCUGCUGGCACAACUGACAAAUGGACUAUAUGUGACGCUCACAAGCCAAGAACAAAGUGAUGUCAUCAUUGUCUUCUGUCCAAUCAGCUCUCGUGUUGGGUCAGACGUGGAUGCAGCCAUGAGGGGGGUGCCAGAAGAUAAAAAGAUCAUUCUGGUUGUGAUGCAUCACACCCGAGACGUCGACUACUCAACCGGUGGGAGAAGGUGGUCUGAGACCUUCAGUAAUGUUGUCCUGGAUGUUGAUGUCCUCUUCCAUGAAAGUCUGCCGGGACUAUUGAUCUGUGGAAGAAACGGCAAGGCUGUCCAUCAGAUACAAGCUGCUUUAACUGAACCCCAUCGCAGCUUGCUUCGGCCAAGAGUCGAGUGUAAUAAUACUUUGAAAUUGUAUUUACUAUUUAUUAUUAUUAUGAUUACUUUGAUUCUCAUCAUUAUUUACCAUUGAUCAUCAUUAAUUCUUGACAUCCAUCUUACAUCUUGCCAAGUUCAAUCUGUAAUCGUCAUGCUGCUGUUGUUAGCAAACCAACUACACGUUUGUAUUAAUCCAAGGUUGCUGAAGCGCCGCUGUCAUUUUUCUUGUUUCUUUUUCCAUCAAUUCAACAUGAUAUAUCCCACUGUAAAUGGCUGCUCUGCAAAUAUCUCUGAUGAUUUUAGCUAAAGGAGCUGUGAGCGAAGCUAACUUUUAUUUAUAGUACAUGUGUUCCCACGAGCUUCUCAAGCAGUAUGGCCGUGCCAUGUAGGAAGAAAAAUGGACUUCAAAACAACUCUUCAGGAACCAAUGGGUCACGUGACCGAGUUCUUUGUACAUUGUUUUAUACAAUAUAUGGUCUAACCCAUGACAGAAUAGCUGAGGAAAAACAGGCUGGCUAAACCAGACAUUCCUAGACACAUCCUCUUAAAACGAUUAGAUGUCGUGUUCACUGUAUUUAAAAUGUUUUAUGUAUGUAAAGUUUGUACUCUACUGUCUUGCAUACCCAGACACCUGAAUUAAGUUAUAAUGUCACUACUUAGCAUAAAAAGUGUAAUCAUGACAUAAAACCUGAAAAUUAUGAUUUGUGUCUUGAGUUAUUCCCCUAGUUGUGGAAAUGAUUGAUGUAGUAG